rnacentral:rRNA from 1 species
UGAGUACGAGAUGCUACGGCGUCGAAGCAGUCUAGGUCAUACUUCCAAGAAAAGCUUGCACUGUCAUAAACAAAGAAUGCCUGUACCAUAACCGACACAGGUGGGUAGGUAGAGUAUACUAAGGGGCGCGAGAUAACUCUCUCUAAGGAACUCGGCAAAAUGACUCCGUAACUUCGGGAGAAGGAGUGCCUUAUUUUUAAGGUUGCAAUAACAAGAUCCAAGCAACUGUUUACCAAAAACACAGGUCUCCGCUAAGUCGUAAGACGAUGUAUGGGGGCUGACGCCUGCCCAGUGCCAGAAGGUUAAAGAAGUUGGUUAGCAUUUGCGAAGCUGAUAACUGAAGCCCUGGUGAACGGCGGCCGUAACUAUAACGGUCCUAAGGUAGCGAAAUUCCUUGUCGGGUAAGUUCCGACCCGCACGAAAGGCGUAAUGAUUUGGAUACUGUCUCGGAGAGGGGCUCGGUGAAAUAGACUUGUCUGUGAAGAUGCGGACUACCUGCACCUGACAGAAAGACCCUAUGAAGCUUUACUGUAACUUGAGAUUGAAAUUGGACUUUAUUUGCGCAGUAUAGGUGGGAGGCGUUGAGAAUAAUCUUGCGGGAUUAUCGGAGCCAUCAGUGAGAUACCACUCUUGUAAUGUUAGAUUUCUAACUUUGUACCAUUAUCUGGUCAAAGAACAGUUUCAGGCGGGCAGUUUGACUGGGGCGGUCGCCUCCCAAAGGGUAACGGAGGCGCACAAAGGUUUCCUCUGAACGGGUAGAAAUCGUAUCUAGAGUGUAAAGGCAUAAGGAAGCUUGACUGUGAGACCUACAAGUCGAGCAGGGACGAAAGUCGGUCUUAGUGAUCUGACGGUGCUGAGUGGAAAGGCCGUCACUCAACGGAUAAAAGUUACUCUAAGGAUAACAGGCUGAUCUCCCCCAAGAGUUCACAUCGACGGGGAGGUUUGGCACCUCGAUGUCGGCUCAUCGCAUCCUGGGGCGGUAGUACGUCCCAAGGGUUGGGCUGUUCGCCCAUGAAAGCGGUACGCGAGCUGGGUUCAGAACGUCGUGAGACAGUUCGGUCCAUAUCCGGUGUAGGCGUUAGAAUAUUGAAAGGAGCCUUCUCUAGUACGAGAGGACCGAGAAGGACAUACCUCUGGUGUGCCAGUUAUCGUGCCAACGGUAAACGCUGGGUAGCUAUGUAUGGAGUGGAUAACCGCUGAAAGCAUCUAAGUGGGAAGCCCACCUUAAGAUAAGUAUUCUCAUC